GGGAAGUUGGCUCAGUGGUAGAGUGCUUGCCUUGCAAGCAUGAGGCCCUGGGUUUGAUUCCUCA
rnacentral:tRNA from 1 species